AUUGAACGCUGGCGGCAGGCCUAACACAUGCAAGUCGAGCGGAGCGGCGGACGGGUGAGUCAUGCCUAGGAAUCUGCCUGGUAUUGGGGGAUCACGUCCGGAAACGGGCGCUAAUACCGCAUACUCUCAGAUGAGCCUAGGUCGGAUUAGCUAGUUGGUGGGGUAAAGGCCUACCAAGGCGACGAUCCGUAACUGGUCUGAGAGGAUGAUCAGUCACACUGGAACUGAGACACGGUCCAGACUCCUACGGGAGGCAGCAGUAGGGAAUAUUGGACAAUGGGCGAAAGCCUGAUCCAGCCAUGCCGCGUGUGUGAAGAAGGUCUUCGGAUUGUAAAGCACUUUAAGUUGGGAGGCGUUACCAACAGAAUAAGUACCGGCUAACUACGUGCCAGCAGCCGCGGUAAUUC
rnacentral:rRNA from 1 species